rnacentral:lncRNA from 1 species
GCCCCUGUCUUACUUGUUUUUCCUUCGGACAUGGAACAACUAGUCCUAAGACCUGCCGCCAAUAACAAAUACCAAAACUACUACUCGCACGCGUGCACUAUUAGCACCAAUUCCUCAAAGGCAGAGGUUUCGGUUUUGACAGACAGAAGGGAAGCCGCUUAUAUACAAUACAAGAAAUGCAAGACACCCCUUUCGCGGAACUGGUCCGGAGUUUCGGGCGAACUAAAGACCCCUUGCGCCGCACAGCACAAUUCCCCAGAUCGGGGCAGUUUGACUCCUCUUUGGUUUGAGCACUACUGCCGCUUAGCGUGGCGGAUUGGCAUGGCAAAGAGACAACUCUUCCUUUAGUGGGUUAUAUAGUUAGGAACUACUACACCGGGGGUGUGGCUGGCAGUAGGGAAGUUACAGGAAUAAAGAAGAAAAGCACACCCGACUAAGAUCAUAAGAAGACCAAUCUCACCUCUUACUAAAGGAAGGCAACACAAGAACUAUCCUGGGCGUAAAGAAGAUUGGAUUGACUUAUACCCUGCUUUAGGCAUCUAUUCCUGCAAUGCAGACAAACAGAGCAAGUGGAUUAUGCUCAAAGACUUUCUCAUCAUCAUUUUUUUUACAAAAUUACAUGGAUGACUACAUAAUCAGACACAAAAAAGAACCAUGGCUGCAUCUGUAAAGUUCACUUACAAUGAAAAAACCUUUUGUAGUUAUGUAGAA